AACGCCUCCUUCCUGUGUUGGGGCUAAGCGCAUAGAAAGACUGUAAUAAUGAAAUGAAGCAGGAAGGGGAGCAGGUUAUGUGUUUGCAGUCAUAACUACAGUUUCAGUGCUCCAUCGUGAAAUGUCGUGUAAAACUAUUAAGAGGGCUUUGGCGGACACACUUGAGGACCUGUCACAGAAUGACUUCACCAAGUUCCAACACCAGCUCCUGGACCGCAGAGUCGAGCCGCGGGUCCGACGGAACAGGGUGGAGGGGAAAAACUUUUUAGAAAUCGUGGACGUCUUGGUUUCAACUUUUACUGAGUCCGGAGCUUUAAGAGUGACUCUGGAGCUUCUAAAGGGGAUCGGAUGUAACGAGGAGGCAGAGAGUCUCGCCAAAGAGAUCCAGAGUUAACCUCCUUUUUGAAACUUCAAGACCCUCAGCAUGCGCCAUCCUCGUGGGAAAAGGAUAACAGCAGACUGUGACGAGUAGUGACUGUGAUGAGUGCGUCGAUCCAGGAAAAGAACAUUUUAUCACCAUGAUGGAGGAACUACUCUGCAAGAACAUCUUGAUACAAGCGUUGGAUGAGCUGCUGAACCCAAUAUGAAAUCAAUAUUUUGUAUUUUUUUAUCAAAAUAAACUUUUAAAGUUGA